rfam:Felis catus isolate Cinnamon breed Abyssinian chromosome D2, whole genome shotgun sequence.
GUCUGGGUGGCUCAGCCAGUUAAGCAUCUGACUUCAGCUCAGGUCACGAUCUCAUGGUUCAUGGGUUCGAGCCCCAUGUCAGGCU